CGGGGACUGCGGGCACCGGGCCGGGGGGAAGGGGGAAGCCGGCUUCACCGUGAUUCAGCGCCGGCUCCACGUGGGCCAGCGCCGCAGCGGACCCCGCACUUUGCUGCCCGCGUCCCGGGCCGUCUCCCAGCUUCCCUUUUGGUCUAGACCACUGGUGACCCCGCAGUCCCCUUCUCUCCAUUUUUCACCUUGAGAUUACAUUUUUCACCUUGGUGAGACCAUCCACCCAAAGCCGUUUCUUUGUCUAGUAACUCCCGCCCUCUGGGCAGCUCCUCCUCGGACCCUCUUGCUCUCCACCUCCUUAGCCCCUCGCUUUUCUCUUCUUUGCCCCCUUUCCGUUACUUUUUGCUUUAACUCCUCUUUGGUACUUCAUCACUCCCUGCGUCUGUGUGGGCCCCUUUCUCCUUUUACUUCGAUCCUUGGUCAGUUUCACUCACCCGCCCUACUCUCUGAGCCCCUUACUCCCCCGGGACCUUUUUCUUUCAAUCUUUUCUUCUUCCCCGUCCCCUCCCUCCUCUCCCCCGAGGUCCGCUCCUCUCCCCUCCCCCAUGCUCAUCUCCCCUUGCCUCCCUCCCCUUCCCCCACUCCUUGUCUUAAGGCAGCUGGAGAUGAGUGCAGAGUUGUGUCUACAAGGAAAAAAGACCUUGAGGAAUGGUCGCCCUGAAGGCUCCAGGAAGGGGACAAAGAAGACAGGCCGGGGUAGUGACUUGUAUUAAAAGUGGGAUAUGGCGCUACGUUCUGCUUCACGUUUGGGGGACGUCCGCACUUCCGCAGGGGCAGAAGGUUUGAGUUCCAUUUCUCGGUCCCUGGAGCUCACUGCUUGUGGUCCAGUUAGGUCUCAACACUGCAGCUCAUUCACCUAGCGUCCCAGCUCGCUGACUUCCUAUAAAAUUCAAAAUGGCAGACACCAAGCCACACCGUCCGUAUGAAUUUGUAUUUCGCACAUUGUUCUCCUGAUGCUGAGGGCCCUGCCACCAGUGAUGUAUCCGGCAAAGCACAAAGCAGAAAUUCCACCCCCUUGGAUACAGGAGAAGAAGCCUCUUAAGGGACUAGACAGUAAGCUGGGUCCUAACUACACAGACACUGAAUUCCAUUGCCACCUUGGCCGUGUUCCCCCGGUGACAAGGUCACUAAUUGCUUCUGUUCAUCAGUUUCCUCUUCUGUUAUGUGGUGGGGACAAUCCUAGUACCCUUUUAUAAAGUUGUCUUAGAAUAUGCUCAAUAAAUGGUAGCUACUAUUAAAUUUUCUCUUUCUCCCUA